GGACAGAAAACCUUAGAGCUGGGGAAAAGGAACUGGUUUGGCGCUAGAUCUGGCUGAAGGUUACCAAGGGUUGGUUCUCGGUUCUUGCCUUGGAAUUGACUCAGUCAGGCCAUGCACAGCGCUCACUCUUAGAAAGAGGAACUCUAGAGAGAAUUUUCAGUCAAUGCUCCAUUAUUAAUUCAUCCCAUGACAGACGUUUUUCAUUUUUCAUGCAAAGGGACAUAUUCUAUUGUCUAAAACCUUAUGUUUCACGUGUCUAUUAUUUGAGGAAGGGCAAAGGUGGAAAUUUUAUUUUGUAAUAAACAAUCUGCUGUCGGGUUCUUUUAA